rnacentral:rRNA from 1 species
GACGAACGCUGGCGGCGUGCUUAACACAUGCAAGUCGAACGGUAAGGCCCUUCGGGGUACACGAGUGGCGAACGGGUGAGUAACACGUGGGUGAUCUGCCCUGCACUUCGGGAUAAGCCUGGGAAACUGGGUCUAAUACCGGAUAGGACCACUGCCUGCAUGGGUGGUGGUGGAAAGCUUUUGCGGUGUGGGAUGGGCCCGCGGCCUAUCAGCUUGUGGGUGGGGUGAUGGCCUACCAAGGCGACGACGGGUAGCCGGCCUGGAAGGGUGACCGGCCACACUGGGACUGAGAUACGGCCCAGACGCCUACGGGAGGCAGCAGUGGGGAAUAUUGCACAAUGGGCGCAAGCCUGAUGCAGCGACGCCGCGUGAGGGAUGACGGCCUUCGGGUUGUAAACCUCUUUCAGCACCGACGAAGCGCAAGUGACGGUAGGUGCAGAAGAAGGACCGGCCAACUACGUGCCAGCCGCCGCGGUAA